rnacentral:rRNA from 1 species
GGUGAGGUAACGGCUCACCAAGGCGACGACGGGUAGCCGGCCUGAGAGGGCGACCGGCCACACUGGGACUGAGACACGGCCCAGACUCCUACGGGAGGCAGCAGUGGGGAAUAUUGCGCAAUGGGCGAAAGCCUGACGCAGCGACGCCGCGUGAGGGAUGACGGCCUUCGGGUUGUAAACCUCUUUCAGCAGGGACGAAGCGCAAGUGACGGUACCUGCAGAAGAAGCACCGGCCAACUACGUGCCAGCAGCCGCGGUAAUACGUAGGGUGCA